rnacentral:misc_RNA from 1 species
CGAGGCUUUCGCCAAGAAGCUCCCAGCACAACCUGUCAGGCCAAAACUCCGGAACGCCAACAGGGGAUGCCUCGCCGCACAGCACGAAUCUCCCCAUGAGGUGCCCACGACGUCGCACAGCACCACCACGGCCACCAAGAUCAAGCCUUGGCCACGAGCUCCUUCCCCGCACGAAUCUGGGAGCUCUCAACGCCAACAGGGGAUGCCUCGCCGCCGCCGUCAUGGGGGCCCGCGCGGCCAACCCGGCCAGCCCCUCUGGCAGCGGCGAGACGGAGAGGGCGGGGGAGAGUGGGGCAGCGGCUAGGGUUUCGCCUCCCGAGCCGCCCACGGGAGAGAGCGAUGCCCCUGAAAAUGAAACAGUGUUGAUGUUUAAUGGUGCGAGUCACACAUGCAUAUGCAUUUUGUGGCAAAUGCAUAUUCUGAUGGAAUCUAUUAAUGUGAUGAUAAUACAAUACCUUAGUAUAAUUAAAU